rnacentral:rRNA from 1 species
GACGAACGCUGGCGGCGUGCUUAACACAUGCAAGUCGAACGGAAAGGCCCUGCUUUUGUGGGGUGCUCGAGUGGCGAACGGGUGAGUAACACGUGAGUAACCUGCCCUUGACUUUGGGAUAACUUCAGGAAACUGGGGCUAAUACCGGAUAGGAGCUCCUGCUGCAUGGUGGGGGUUGGAAAGUUUCGGCGGUUGGGGAUGGACUCGCGGCUUAUCAGCUUGUUGGUGGGGUAGUGGCUUACCAAGGCUUUGAUGGGUAGCCGGCCUGAGAGGGUGACCGGCCACAUUGGGACUGAGAUACGGCCCAGACUCCUACGGGAGGCAGCGGUGGGGAAUAUUGCACAAUGGGCGGAAGCCUGAUGCAGCAACGCCGCGUGCGGGAUGACGGCCUUCGGGUUGUAAACCGCUUUCGCCUGUGACGAAGCGUGAGUGACGGUAAUGGGUAAAGAAGCACCGGCUAACUACGUG